GUGUUGAGAUCUGCAUAGCCACUCCUGGACGUCUGAUAGAUUUCCUGGAGUCAGGAAAGACAAAUCUUCGCCGAUGUACUUACCUUGUAUUGGACGAAGCUGACAGAAUGCUUGAUAUGGGGUUUGAACCCCAGAUCCGUAAAAUUGUUGACCAAAUCAGGCCUGAUAGGCAGACACUGAUGUGGAGUGCAACCUGGCCAAAAGAAGUAAGACAGCUUGCAGAGGAUUUCCUUCGUGAUUACACCCAGAUCAACGUAGGCAAUCUGGAGUUGAGUGCCAACCACAACAUCCUCCAGAUAGUGGAUGUCUGCAUGGAAAGUGAAAAAGACCACAAGUAUGGAAGAUAAUUUUACUCUGAUUUGAUAAUGCUGAUAAACCUUUUCUAAUAACCCUCCAAAAUUAGUACUGCAGAAACCAGUAUAUUUUGAGGCCUGAGAACAUUAAAAGCAUUGCUAGGUUUCUGAUAAUCCAUCAUCAUAUCAUUUGUCAGAGCAUUAUGGUUAAAUGCAAGGAUUCUGAAUUCUUGAGUUUGAAACUCAGCUCUGCUGAUUACCAGCUGUAUAAUUUUGCACAAUUUUGUGUCUUGGUGCUGCAGUUUCUUCAUCUGUGAAAUGGGAGUAAUACCACUUACAUGAGACUUGCUGUGAGGAUGGUA
rnacentral:sRNA from 1 species